rnacentral:lncRNA from 1 species
GUGUUCUGGAUCCUUUUGGCUAGUGAUGUUUCUCAUGCUUUAGAAAGCAUUGGGUUAAAAUUAAACCCACUGAAUUUCAUAGCAUUGUUUCUAUCCAAGCUACAGGAUUAAUUGUUGGAUUUCUGCUUCAGUUUGAAUUUACCGUUUUCUUUCUUACAAUACUUUAAUACUUGCUUACAUUUAAGCAUUUCUGUAAACACUUCUAGCAACUGCAUUAAUCAUUUGCAAAGUACAAAAGAGUGAUGCAGCUAAGCUGAACUCUCUAUCUUCUCUACAGAUUCAGCUUCCUCAGGGCUUUUGUAACUGUUGUCAUUGAAAGAAGGUAAAGAUGGCUGGAAAUGUGCCAUCUGGGUGCUCCUUGCUUGUCCUACUUUGUCUGAGAUGGAUGAUGUAAAAAGAGGAAAAAGUGGGUUUGUCUUAAAGCAAGAAGUAAUAAUUGCUUGCAUUUUUAAAUACACAAUUGAUAGUAUGACUGCAUAGCAAGUUUAGGUUUGUCACAGUUUUACCUCCUGCUUCCCUCUGUGGUGCACAUUAGUGUUGGGAAGAACCAACCAUAGCAAACUACGGCUAAGCAGUAGUACAGCAAAGAUGAUAUUUCUCCUCUGCCAUCCACCCUACAGAACCAGCUCUGAUCUUGGAAAAUAAACUUUCUCAAAUGAUGAGACCAGCCUUUUAAAGGGAGACCAGGACACAUGUGAAAUAUGGAAUCAAAAAGGUGCACAGAACAUUGACGAAAUAAGCAAAUUGUGCUCAGACAUGGAUCAGGAUCUGAAGAAAGGAGGAGGCAUUUGGCGUUUAUUUCCCCUAAGGGUACUGCUGCAUGUGGUGUGUGCAUCGAUGAAGCAGCCAAGGACCUAUCCAGUGCUGAGGUGUUUCCAUGUGAUAUGGCCUCUGUGAACUCCUCAUCGGCAUCCUACUUCAGUCAGCUGUCUGCUCAGCCCACCUUAUAUAGGCGAUGACUUAGGGAGAAGAAUGUCCAUGGCUUGACUUGUAGUGUUCUGGUGUCUUCUGUCACAAAAGCAGAUGAUGUGUUCAGGUAACCUGAGCUUUCCAGAGACCUAUAAAGUUUAGCUGGAUCCAAACUGAGAAGAGAUGGAGAUUUGUAAAGAGGAUAUUGCAGAAGCAUGAAUUCAUGCUGAGGUACUAUAUUCUCCAAAACUCAAGGAAGAUUUGUUAAAACAGCAGCUCGGGUUGGAAAAUUCUCCAGAGAGAAACUGUAUGAGUGAAAUGAAACACCGAUUAUUGCCUUAAUGUUUAUUUAAUUAGCCAUUUCUAUAACCACGUAAUUGUUUUAAUAGUCAUUUUAAUAGUUUGGUCUAGCGUUAAGUAAACUGAAAAGAGGAAGGAUGUUAAUCCUUAAGAAUAAUCAAUAUUUUAUUUUAAGAACCAACAUCACACCUUCUAUUUGUCUUCCAGGACCUCAGCUAUAGGCUGAUAUAUAGUUUGUCUUCUGGUGGUUGUAUUUGUUUGGUUUAGUCUUCUUUGUUGUUCUGGCUCACAAAAAGGUUUCUAUUGACAGACAAUAAAUGGUCUUGUGGAAAAGACA